AUUCCACCCCAUGGAAGCAUCUUCUGCAAUCAGCUUAACGGAAAAAAGAAAAAAAGACCCUAAGAGACCUCAAACAGUGUGAAUUUGAAUUGCUAUCAUCCUUUGUAUCAUAAUCACAACUAAACAGAAGAAGAAAAACAAAAUCCAAUCGGCUGAGAAUACGAAGGAGAACAACCAAGAGAAGCCAAACGAGUGAAUUUCUAUGCGAGGGAACAAAAUUAACUAAGCUAAUACAAAAUGGAGGGGAAAUUAGAAGUCGUGAUAGAGAGGAGGAAAGGCAUUCUGGAAGAAGAAGACGAUUGGUAUCUGAGAGAUAGUUAGAGAAGGUCUUUUAUUUUAAAUCUUCUUAUUGCGCGCACAGAGUCAUCUGACUUAACCCAUUCGGCCAUCCCCAGGCUCGUUAAAGCUUGUUUGGGAUAAAGCUCAAGGAGGUAAGUUUGUGUUACAACUUCUGAAUAUCAUGGUUAUUUUAGGAAG
rnacentral:misc_RNA from 1 species